CUUAGGCAAAUCCGGGUCCACAAUUCUGAGACGCGACGACGACUGCUCUUUGAGAGCGGGAAGUCAUUGAUGCCCUGCUUCCAGGAAAAUCUUCUAAGCUUCAGGCUAUUCGAGACCGUACCCCAAACCGACACAGGUGGUUGGGAUGAGUAUUCUAAGGCGCUUGAGAGAACUCGGGUGAAGGAACUAGGCAAAGUGGUACCGUAACUU
rnacentral:rRNA from 1 species